AUGGACUUGGGCUGCUUUGGCUUUGCAGGGGUUGACUUCUUUGUCUUCUUGGUCGCGACUUUCUUCUUCUUCGCUCCCUCGGAUUUUUUGACCGCCGUCCUCUUGCGCUCUGGAGGAGCGGUGGUUGUUUUCGCUUUAGCUUGUUUUGGUUUCUUCACUGUCGACUUCUUCGAGGUCUUGGUCAUGGUGGGGGUGCCCUUGUCCUUCUCGCCUGACUCAGAGAGCUUAUAAGAGGCUUUGAUCUUGAUGAGUUUGCCUCUGUUAGCACAAUUCUUUAGUUGCAGAGCCAACAUCUUCCUGAAAUUAGCAGGCAAAACCGCCUUGUGCUUCCCUUCCAUGUAUUUUGCUAUGGCGUACGGACUAGAACCGUUCUUCUCCUUCAAGGCCAAUAGUGCCUCCUUGAUCAUCUACAGUAGAAUAAACAUACACCGUCAAGAUCAAUCCCAUAACCGAUCAAUUUCAUCGUGAAAGCAUAGCUCGAAGGAGGAAAUUUGCAUAAAUAGAGAAGAAAUGGAUCAGGGAUGAAAGAAUACCUGAAAGUAAGGAGGAUGAGCAGCGGCUUUCGGCUGUCUAGGUUUCUUUUCCCUGGGAGCUUUAGGUUUUCUCUCCUUUACAGGCUUCUCCUCCGGCUUCGGCUCCUCCGCCGCCGGCUGCUCCUGCUGCUCAACUACUGGAACUUCGGCUUCUUCGGCAGCCAUUAUAGAUAAAAACUAUAUGAACAC
rnacentral:lncRNA from 1 species